rnacentral:miRNA from 1 species
UAAGUAACUUGCCCAAAGCCACAUAGCUAGUAAGUAGCAGAGCCAGGAUUCAAGCCUAGGCACUACGGCUGUAGAGCCCAUGCUCUUCACCAUUACAUCAUGUUACCUUCU